CCAGCUGCUUUGUGAAAUGUAUUGUAUAUUCACGUCUGAAGGUAGCAGUAUCUGCCUACCAAGGUUUAGUUGACCUUGUUUUUGGUGUGGAUUCACUGUAGAUUGCAUGGUUUUCCAUUAGUUCUGACAUUGAUGGUUCACAGAGAGACCCUGGAAAUUACAGGCGACUUGCAACUUGAGCCACCACCUGGUGAAGAUAGUGGCAAGAAUUAGGAUGUUGGGUGCACCAGAGGAGCAAUGGACACUUUCUUGUCUAAAAGUUACUGUUCAAUGCAUAUUAUGAAAUAUUAGGCUUAUUCCAUCCUUUUGAUUGAUCACGAUUGUAAUGUUAUGACAGUAAUUUAAAGAUGCAACGGAAAUGGAAAGAAAUGUUCUUUUUAUCUACAUCUGUGAAUGUUAAGUAAUUGGAGAAAAGUAUAAACAAUCACUGACUAGAUGCUCAUUAUCAGACAAUUUCCUGAAAUAUGAUGAAAAAUAUCUUCAUCUUGUAUGCCAUAAGUGCUUGUCAGAUUUACUAUUUUAACUUUUUCUCAUUUUAGAUGUACCAUAGUUAAGCAGAAUCGAUCAGGGAAAGUAGUUUGUUUUUGUUUAAAAUCAAAAUCAAAACCAAAUAUUAA